rnacentral:rRNA from 1 species
AUUGAACGCUGGCGGCAGGCCUAACACAUGCAAGUCGAGCGGAGGGGCAGACGGGGGAGUAAUGCCUAGGAAUCUGCCUGGGACUGGGGGAUAACGUCCGGAAACGGGCGCUAAUACCGCAUACUAUCAGAUGAGCCUAGGUCGGAUUAGCUAGUUGUUGGGGUAAAGGUAUACCAAGGCGACGAUCCGUAACUGGUCUGAGAGGAUGAUCAGUCACACGGGAACUGAGACACGGGCCAGAGUCCUACGGUAGGCAGCAGUGGGGAAUAUUGGACAAUGGGCGAAAGCCUGAUCCAGCCAUGCCGCGUGUAUGAAGAAGGUCUUCGGAUUGUAAAGCACUUUAAGUUGGGAGGCGUUACCAGCAGAAUAAGCACCGGCUAACUCCGUGCCAGCAGCCGCGGUAAUAC